rnacentral:rRNA from 1 species
UGCAGUCGNNCGAGAUCUUCGGGUCUAGUGGCGCACGGGUGCGUAACGCGUGGGAAUCUGCCCUUUGGUUCGGAAUAACAGUUGGAAACGACUGCUAAUACCGGAUGAUGACGAAAGUCCAAAGAUUUAUCGCCAGAGGAUGAGCCCGCGUAGGAUUAGCUAGUUGGUGUGGUAAAGGCGCACCAAGGCGACGAUCCUUAGCUGGUCUGAGAGGAUGAUCAGCCACACUGGGACUGAGACACGGCCCAGACUCCUACGGGAGGCAGCAGUGGGGAAUAUUGGACAAUGGGCGAAAGCCUGAUCCAGCAAUGCCGCGUGAGUGAUGAAGGCCUUAGGGUUGUAAAGCUCUUUUACCCGGGAUGAUAAUGACAGUACCGGGAGAAUAAGCUCCGGCUAACUCCGUGCCAGCAGCCGCGGUAAUACGGAGGGAGCUAGCGUUGUUCGGAAUUACUGGGCGUAAAGCGCACGUAGGCGGCUUUGUAAGUUAGAGGUGAAAGCCUGGAGCUCAACUCCAGAACUGCCUUUAAGACUGCAUCGCUUGAAUCCAGGAGAGGUGAGUGGAAUUCCGAGUGUANAGGUGAAAUUCGUAGAUAUUCGGAAGAACACCAGUGGCGAAGGCGGCUCACUGGACUGGUAUUGACGCUGANGUGCNAAAGCGUGGGGGANNNNCAGGAUUANAUACNCUGGUANUCCACNCCGUAAACNAUGAUAACUA